rnacentral:rRNA from 1 species
CCUACGGGAGGCAGCAGUGGGGAAUUUUGGACAAUGGGCGCAAGCCUGAUCCAGCUAUUCCGCGUGUGGGAUGAAGGCCCUCGGGUUGCAAACCACUUUUGUAGAGAACGAAAAGACACCUUUUAAUAAAGGGUGUUGCUGACGGUACUCUAAGAAUAAGCACCGGCUAACUACGUGCCAGCAGCCGCGGUAAUACGUAGGGUGCGAGCGUUAAUCGGAAUUAUUGGGCUUAAAGGGUGCGCAGGCGGAAUGGUAAAGCAGCGGGAAAA